UCUGCUCAGCUGGUAGAGCAUGAGACUCUUAAUCUCAGGGUUGUGGGUAUGAGUCCCACAUUAGGAA